rnacentral:rRNA from 1 species
CAGCCGCCGCGGGAAUACAGAGGAUGCAAGCGUUAUCCGGAAUGAUUGGGCGUAAAGCGUCUGUAGGUGGCUUUUCAAGUCCGCCGUCAAAUCCCCGGGCUCAACCCUGGACAGGCAGUGGAAACUACCAAGCUGGAGUACGGUAGGGGCAGAGGGAAUUCCGGUGGAGCGGUGAAAUGCGCAGAUACCGGGAGGAACGCCGAUGGCGAAGGCAGCCACCUGGUCCACUUCUGACGCUGAGGCGCGAAAGCGUGGGGAGCAAACCGGAUUAGAUACCCCUGUAGUCCUGUCUCUUAUACAC